GAGUUUGAUCAUGGCUCAGAUUGAACGCUGGCGGCAGGCCUAACACAUGCAAGUCGAACGGUAACAGGAAACAGCUUGCUGUUUCGCUGACGAGUGGCGGACGGGUGAGUAAUGUCUGGGAAACUGCCUGAUGGAGGGGGAUAACUACUGGAAACGGUAGCUAAUACCGCAUAACGUCGCAAGACCAAAGAGGGGGACCUUCGGGCCUCUUGCCAUCAGAUGUGCCCAGAUGGGAUUGGUAGUAGGUGGGGUAACGGCUCACCUAGGCGACGAUCCCUAGCUGGUCUGAGAGGAUGACCAGCCACACUGGAACUGAGACACGGUCCAGACUCCUACGGGAGGCAGCAGUGGGGAAUAUUGCACAAUGGGCGCAAGCCUGAUGCAGCCAUGCCGCGUGUAUGAAGAAGGCCUUCGGGUUGUAAAGUACUUUCAGCGGGGAGGAAGGGAGUAAAGUUAAUACCUUUGCUCAUUGACGUUACCCGCAGAAGAAGCACCGGCUAACUCCGUGCCAGCAGCCGCGGUAAUACGGAGGGUGCAAGCGUUAAUCGGAAUUACUGGGCGUAAAGCGCACGCAGGCGGUUUGUUAAGUCAGAUGUGAAAUCCCCGGGCUCAACCUGGGAACUGCAUCUGAUACUGGCAAGCUUGAGUCUCGUAGAGGGGGGUAGAAUUCCAGGUGUAGCGGUGAAAUGCGUAGAGAUCUGGAGGAAUACCGGUGGCGAAGGCGGCCCCCUGGACGAAGACUGACGCUCAGGUGCGAAAGCGCGGGGAGCAAACAGGAUUAGAUACCCUGGUAGUCCACGCCGUAAACGAUGUCGACUUGGAGGUUGUGCCCUUGAGGCGUGGCUUCCGGAGCUAACGCGUUAAGUCGACCGCCUGGGGAGUACGGCCGCAAGGUUAAAACUCAAAUGAAUUGACGGGGGCCCGCACAAGCGGUGGAGCAUGUGGUUUAAUUCGAUGCAACGCGAAGAACCUUACCUGGUCUUGACAUCCACGGAAGUUUUCAGAGAUGAGAAUGUGCCUUCGGGAACCGUGAGACAGGUGCUGCAUGGCUGUCGUCAGCUCGUGUUGUGAAAUGUUGGGUUAAGUCCCGCAACGAGCGCAACCCUUAUCCUUUGUUGCCAGCGGUCCGGCCGGGAACUCAAAGGAGACUGCCAGUGAUAAACUGGAGGAAGGUGGGGAUGACGUCAAGUCAUCAUGGCCCUUACGACCAGGGCUACACACGUGCUACAAUGGCGCAUACAAAGAGAAGCGACCUCGCGAGAGCAAGCGGACCUCAUAAAGUGCGUCGUAGUCCGGAUUGGAGUCUGCAACUCGACUCCAUGAAGUCGGAAUCGCUAGUAAUCGUGGAUCAGAAUGCCACGGUGAAUACGUUCCCGGGCCUUGUACACACCGCCCGUCACACCAUGGGAGUGGGUUGCAAAAGAAGUAGGUAGCUUAACCUUCGGGAGGGCGCUUACCACUUUGUGAUUCAUGACUGGGGUGAAGUCGUAACAAGGUAACCGUAGAGGAACCUGCGGUUG
rnacentral:rRNA from 1 species